GGACGAAACGCGGACAUAGUAGUCAGCUACCAGGAGGCAGUAACCUGUUAGUUGUCUGUAUACAAUCUGCAGUAUGGAGGACAUGAUGCACACUCCUCCAGUGAUGAAGAGGUUGGUCAGCACGUCAAACUGUGGCAUGACAACCAAGGCCAGGACGGAGGCUCUUGCAGUUUGGCGGCACAAAGCUCUUGAACAUCACCCUCCACAGGGACUUGAUGAACACCAGCACAUUGGGGAACACCAGGCAGAACACCAACAUCAGCAUGAAGAACUGCUGCUCCUGGGCACUGCGCAGUGAGUACGGACUGGAGAGCACAGUGAGUACCAGGAGAGAUCCCUGAUGGGAUAGAAAGCACAAGCAGAGGACAUCACUGAAGUGGGGCGCAGCAUAACAGUGUAGUGGUAAGGAUGCUUGAUACUCAGGGUCAAACCAAGAUGCCUGCAAUCCACCUGUUGGCGUGCUCCUAGAUAGCAAGACGCCUAGACCUCCUACAUGCAUCUAUUCAACAUUCUCUGUACGCCACUAUUGAUACAAGUCUGCUUAGUGAGUCAAUAGUAGGCCUGCUGUUAAGACGACCCUCUGAGUUAACACAAAGGACAUUCCACUGACAUGGGAGAAGAAGGAUCUCCAUGCAUGGAACAAGGGUAGAGACGUGCCUACGUCAUUGUCACUGUGGGGGUUUGAGUCGGUCAGGGUCAUCCAUGUACCUCGUAAACUUGUUAAACACCUUGAUAAUUAAUUAAAAAACAAAGAUUUUAACAGAGAUUUUUAACAAACAGGUGUGGAACCGUGUUACCCUUUUGACCAAACCCUUGACAAUAAAGCAAUCUAAGAUUACCGAUAAUCUGCAUGUUGUCAUGUUGAAAGUGGAAAGAGAUUGAUAAGAAGGGUGUUAUCUCCCCAACAUGUUAAGUUACAAGCUACAAGUUGUUUUGGUUUUCUGUACAUCUUGCUACUUUGCUAUUUGGAUGUGAGUCUGUGUUACAGGCAUUCAAUUAGCACUUAGAAUUAAUCUACUACAAAAACACACAGUAUACAGACACAUUCAUAUGGCUAUCGCUGUCUGGUGGUAUAUACAUUAACCAAGAACAAAGGACCUUGUAACUCUAUAAAGUUUGUUUUCUGCUUUCUGUCAAUUUCAUGUGAGCUGGUUUAUGCUAGAGAUGUGAAACUUGGUAUAGAUGUUGAAAAUAAAUUAGGUAUUUAUGUUGCCAUGGCCAGUCUUAAAAAAUAAACCAUUUUCAGAUUAAAAAUAAUUUAAUCAAUCUAUAAAAACAGUACGUUUGGGUUAGUUCAAGUCGAUGCUACAUAGCAGUUUUCAUGCUGAUUGGUGAAAUACUAUAGGAAGGGCUUUGAGUUUGUCCUGACUAUUUCAUCUGCCAUGUACAUAUUUGUGACCCUAUGCAUUUGCAUUCUGCAUCACAUUUGACACACAACUUCAACAGGGGUAUCUAUCAGAGGGUAUGUUAUUUAGUUUGAACCCUAACGUUAGCCAACCACUAACUAUUUAAGUUAUAGUCCCACCAACUAAUCAUCAUUAUAUCUGAUCACACACACAGCAUGUCUGGUCAUGAUUUGGCCUUUAUCUCUGCAUCAUGACAGGGCAUUCUCUGCCAACGCUCCCACACUCUGGAACAGCCUACCACUCCACUUCCGCUUUGCCCCAUCCCUGCCCAUGUGGAAAAACCACCUCAAAACAUUCCUUUUCACAAAGUCCUUUGACCGCGAAUUUUUGCGACUGAUAGAAUCACCAUAGUACACACACUGAAAACAGAAUUUUGCACCCACAAGUUUAGCCUUCAGCUAGAGAACCUUACUUUCUGCCGAUUGACAGCUUGCAUAACCGAUCGACACAUCCACUGACUUCUGGCUAGUCUUACUGAAGCUCAAAAUGGGCCCAAACAUAUUCCUCCGGUAACGUCGCCAUGCCAACGCCGACGUUGGCUGCAACAGGUCGUGGACAUCCAUCGCCCCUAUGUCCUGCUGUUUGUUCACGUAUCUGAAUCUUUAAUGGAUCACUCUUUAAUGUAUUAUGCACAUGCUGAGCUUCUGAAUAGACCGGUGUAUGCUAUGUAUGUAGAGCGCCGGAUUUCUGUGCUCGCACUCCAAAUCCGUGAAUGACACCUGGAUUAAUUAAUGAUUGAACCAGGCUUUUCCACUGUCUAAGACCGUGUGUAUAAUAUAAAAUCGAAUGUCUGACUGAGGUGAUGCUGUGCUGUAUGAAGGGUAAAUGCAAUAGGAACGUAUGGAGAUGGCUAUAGGUGGAUGGAUAGGGAUAUGGAUGGAUACCUUGGAUAUAACAGCACUGGCCAGGACUGCAAUGCCCACUAUGAUGGCCACCAAGUACUGGGCCAGUUCGAAACAUGUCCUCUUGCUCUCCUUCUCAGAUCCAACCGGGUUCAACUGGAAUGGAUCCCAUGUAUCCCUGGAACCAAAACAGAUGGAUACAAUGAACAUACACGGCUGCAAGCCACACAAACACACUCUCACACACACACACACACACACACACACACACACACACACACACACACACACACACACACACACACACACACACACACACACUUACGCAAAGUCGGUUUGUUUCCCCUUGUAGGAUUUUACCUUGCCAAGUGUCUCUCUCUCUCUCAGACAAACACAUAACACCUGGAUUACAUGGCAUGUCAUCAUGUCAUCAAUCUUGAAAACGGCUGCUCUACUUGCUGGCUCAACACACUAGUGCGCUAGCCAUGUAGGACAUAAACCCCCUUUUAGCGACCCAGGUUAACAUCUGAUGAACGCGGAUUGGUCACCACUGAUCAUCAUAAUAAAAAAAGGUGUUAAGAUAAGGAAAUUAGACAUAUAGUUUGGGAAUUGGUCUUUGACUUCAACGUCACGACCAGUGGCGGCAGGUUAGGUUGUAUAGAGAAUUAGUAGCAAGCUGUGUGCACGUACUGCUGGCGUGAUAUCAGCAUAUUAAUCCUAGGGUGCAUGCUUCUAUCUGGAUUAGUUGCUCUGUCAACAAUCAUCAUACAAAACAUAGAUAUUGAUAUUGAGGCCCCUAAGUGGUUCAAUACAGAUACAGUUUGAAAGGACAAAUGUUUAGGUUUAUUCUAUAUUACACUAAGUAACCCUAGUCGAGGUUUACAGAAUCCGCAAAACCACACAUAUUAUGCUGAUCUUUAGACUGGCUUUGCUUUGGUUUAUACAGCCAAGCAAAUUCAAAAAUCUUUCACUUUUAUAAUCUCUGGGUGUAGUCCUAGCAAUACAAAUAAACUAAUUAUGUGGGACAUGGGUAAGUAUUUAUGGUAUUUCAAGUAAUAAACUAUGUAAAUACAGUGAUUGUUUCAGAGACUGCAAUAAAGAGAGUCAAAACAGAGGACACUGACUGGGCAAAUAAAAAGCUAAACUGUGCCUAUACUAGUACUAAUAACUAAUGGGAUUAUUCAACACUAACUCUAACCCUAUUUAAGAAGCUAUGCUUUUAUUUUCUGACAUAAACUAUAAAUGCUAAUGCUGGGGGUUGCCUAGCAAGCUGAAUCUUUCGCUCUAAAUAACAAAAAAUAUCUCUGUUAAUUUUUUUGCACCACACACGGUUCUAUUUUCUAUUAAUUUUGAGUAUAAUUUACAUUUUCUGAGUACAGCAGUUACUCACAAUGAGAUUGACACGUACAACUUUUUGACACAAUGCAGUGUAAGAACGUAGGAAUAGUUAUUGUUAUUUAAACAUUUAAAAAACGCUUCAGAAAUUCAGGGAAAACAACAAGGACAUCUCUUCCUUGUAGAAGAUUUGUAAACAUACAUGUGCCUGGCCUCCCUUUUCUUCGCUCGUUCAUCCAUCUUGCUUCAAAUGAUAUGGCUCUUGUUACCUAUCAUAUAAACACACAGGACAUCAGGAAAUGAUCAUCUUAAAAAUAACACAUAUGAUCAAUAGUAAUACUAGGGAACAUUAAUUAACCAAAACAACCAAAAACAAUACAAACCUCACUUAAUGUUCAAAUGCCCGGUGGUUUGUUCCAUUCAGCGACUCCCACCAAAGUCGACUGAUCUUGAGUAGAACCUUUAAUCCUUGACCCAGGUCCGUUCGACUCUGUGCUUACUGCCUUGUGAUCCUGGAAAACGAAUCCUCAUCCUUCUGAUUGUUUGUGGCCAAGGGGCAAACCAUAACUACGUCCAACACAAGACAUGGGAAGAUAACAACUACAGUGUGUGUGUGUGUGUGUGUGUGCGUGUGUGCGUGUGUGCGUGUGUGUGUGUGUGUGUUAGUGUACACAUGUGUGUGUGUGUGUGUAUGUGCGUGCAGUGCGUGUCCAUGAGGGUGUGUGAUAGAUGGUGCAGAUAUCAAUUGCAUGCUUUAUGGGGGUUAUAAGUGAGUACAAGAGUCCUCUAAACAUGCAGUCAUCGAACCUGCACCACAUACACACACACCUAGACUGUUCAAUAAAUAACUGAUGUAAAUCAAUAUAAAGAUAUAAAACAAAGGAAAUCAUUUGAGUAAAAAACAAUCCAAACACAAUUUGAAUGGCAAAGCUACAACCAAAGUAAGGGACUGAACACAAUUUAUAUUUUUGUCUUCAUACCUUGUGGUAAAGGUCAAAGCAUUUACCGUGGGUAAAUGCUGUGGGGUUCCAUGACAAUUGUCGUGGCAAUUUCUUUGUGUCUGUCUAGGACAGAU